CUGUAUUUGUUGAGCAUGGCCUGUGUGUAGGCAGGGGAGAACUUGACACCGGAUUGGGUCUGUCCCAGACUUCCUCUAAUGAUCGUCUAGCAGAUGCUGUCCACACCCUGUCUGAGUCUCUGCAGCACACAGGGCUCUGGGGCAUGCUGGUUUCUUGCUGUAAGUUCUCACAACUCUCUGCCUGAGGGCUUCUCUGUGACCAUGGUAACUUGUUCAGUCUGUGCUGGGAGCAGGACCCAAAGGAUGGGAAUGGGGCUGAGAGAGUAAAUGUCCCUAGCAGCAGCCCUCCACCAAUCAUGAACUGGAAAUGGGAAAUGAAUACACUAACUUCUUGUCCGUCACAUGAGGCAGCUCAGAGGUGGGCAUUAUGUGCUCUCCCCAGCAGGAUUAAGCCCAGUUGCUCACGAGGGUGACCUGCUCUUUAACACACCCUGAAUUGAUUUCCUUUCCUUCCUCCUCUUACUCCCCCACUCUCCUGCAAGCAAUUCCUGGGAUUACUUCCAAAAUAAACAACUUACAUUCCAGUCCUCUCAGCAUCUGCUUUUGGAGGAAUCGAGCUUAAGACAAAAUGUUUAUUUUGACAAUAAAAGGUAAUGUAAGGAUUACAUUUCCUUCUUUAUAUUCUUCAGGACUGUCUAAAUGGUCUACAGUGAGUAUUUGACCAGGAAAAAAAAUCAAGCCAUCAAUGAGAAAAACAUCUGUCAUAUCACAUUGCAUUCUCUUGAUUUUUCUUAGAAACAGGGAAAUUUCACAAACAAGGCAAAUGAAUAAAUCCUUUCCCUCCUCUACACCCCCACUCCCUGCAAAAUAAAAUAAAAUAAAAUAAAAAAGGAAAUUAUCUUAGUUAUCUGUGGCCCAAGUUAUAAUUUGGGAGUUUCAUUGAACUAAAUAGGAAAAAAUAAUUAGUCUCAAAAUGUGGCAGAAUCCUCCUCAAUUUCAUCAGGAAAGGAGAAUAUGAAGAGAAACUCAUUUCCUCAAAUCCUAAUGAUUUCACAGGGAACCUCAUGUUAAUACCAUCAGAAACCUGGUGGGUUUGAAGCUAUAAUGUCAGAGGAGUCAAUGACAUCUUCUUCACCUGCUUCUCUCCUCUCCACUUAGAGCCUUCAAGAAUAAGAUGAAAGAGCUGUCCAUCCGUCAAUUCAACAAAAUUCAUAAUUAUUCGGUUGGUCACUGUGCCAGACUGGGAAAACAAUGUUGUAAAAGACAUACAAGUCUCCAAAGAAAAGGUACUGAUGGAGAAAGGCAUGAAACAAACAAACAGAGAAAAUGAUCAGAGGGAUUUCUGGUAAUUCUUUAAGGGAAAAUAGUGGGAAAAUGUGAUACACCAUGUCUUAGUAUGUUUUUCAUUGCUCUAAAUAUUGGCAACUGGUUGAUUUAUGAAGGAAAGAAGUUUAUUAAGUUCACAGUGUCAGAGGCUGAGAAGUUCAAGGGCAUGGCAGAAACAUCUGUAGAGGACUUUCAUACUGUGACAUAAUAUGAUAGAAGAAUGGAAGUGUAUCUGUGUGCCUAAAAGAGAAAAAACACAGGGGGAAGACUCACAUUAUAACUAAUCCAGUCCUGUGAGAAGAUGUCAAAUCCCAAGAGAAGGAGACUUAUCCCUCUUAAUGACCUGAUCCAACAAUGCCACAACAGCAAUCAACUUUCAAAGGGUAUCAUUCCAGAGGAGCCCUGCCCUAUACCUGGAGGAAGAAAUGCUACACAGAGAGGCCAAGAAGACAAAUCUGAACUCACGGGCCUUUCUGGGUUCCCUAGUCUAAUACCAUGAACUCAUUUCUUUCUGUCAAAUCACAUUUCUACCUAGCUGUUCAUCUUCCUUGAAUCUACAAAUAAAGACGUCAGUUUUCUCUA